rnacentral:lncRNA from 1 species
AGCUUGGACCAGGUUGCAGCAUUUAACGGACUUUUCUAGGUUUCCAGAGUAAUAGACUGAUGUCUACAGUGAGGGAUGCACAGCUCGUUCCUCUCACACCCUCGGGUGUCCGCCCCUCGCAAAGACUCGGGAUUGGAACCUACGAAGGCUUCCCAAAUGCUGACCCAGCCCUGCACCAAGCCGGCCCUGCACCAAGCCGGCUGCCAGAACCUCCCAGGAGCCGGUUUCGAUAGAGAGGCGUCGCUGUGCCGCAGAAGAACCAGCACAGUUUUGGGACCGCUCAGGGCUCAGAUCCUGGUAAAGACACGCGCAGGUGGAAUUCCUCUUUUCUGGACUGAGUGGCAAAGAAAUCACUUCCAGAGAGCCUGAAAAAAUGAGCUUUUUUCAGAAUGUUUGAAUGUGUCUUUAAAAUUCAGCAUCAUGAUUUACAAAGAGGCAGACUCCGACCGCAUGGUGUCUUGGCUCCUACACCCCACAGUGGCUCUAAGAAUGAACCAGUGCAAUGUACCGGACCCCGAGUGACCCCGACUCUGGCUCACGGCUUCCUCGUGUGUCAGCAUCUCUCCCACUCCUCGGCCUCCGUCCUCCACUGUCGUUUGUGCCGUGGGCUGCUUCUGAGACUGAAAAGUGAGGAGGCAGAGUUCCCGUGUAGCUCAGUGGGUUAAGGACCAGGCGUUGUCACUGCUCUGGUGUGUUUGAUCCCUGGCCUGGGAACUUCACCAUUCUGCGGGUAUGGCGAAAAAAUAAAAUAAGGAAAAGCAAGAAGAUGUAAAGAUAC